CCUACGGGGGGCAGCAGUGGGGAAUAUUGCACAAUGGGGGAAACCCUGAUGCAGCGACGCCGCGUGAGUGAAGAAGUAUUUCGGUAUGUAAAGCUCUAUCAGCAGGGAAGAAGAAAGACGGUACCUGACUAAGAAGCCCCGGCUAACUACGUGACCGCAGCCGCGGUAAUACGUAGGGGGCAAGCGUUAUCCGGAUUUACUGGGUGUAACGGGAGCGUAGACGGCUGGGCAAGUCUGAAGUGAAAGGCCAGGGCUCAACCCUGGGACUGCUUUGGAAACUGUGGAGCUAGAGUGCUGGAGAGGUAAGUGGAAUUCCUAGUGUAGCGGUGAAAUGCUUAGAUAUGAGGAGGAACACCAGUGGCGAAGGCGGCUUACUGGACCGUAACUGACGUUGAGGCUCGAAAGCGUGGGGAGCAAACAGGAUUAGAUACCCUAGUAGUC
rnacentral:rRNA from 1 species